rnacentral:piRNA from 1 species
UGAAAGACUGAUCUCUGGACAACAAG